GAACUCAUGACUGUAGGAAGAUCAGCUGUUUUCCCAGUUUACCCAAUUCUUUCCUACCGUGCAAUCUGAUGGAAAUCAUUCUGCAGACACAUUGGGACCUCAGGCGAAGCCAUCUUAUUCCAGUGUCUAUCCUGAGAUGUGCAGAUUCUAGCUUUUGGAGCACUGGGGUGCUAUAGGGACAGAAUAACCAAGCCGUGAUGAAUUGUGUCCUUUCCAGGGUCAGAGGCAUGUUGAAGUUUUGUAUCUGUGUUAUUAGUGCUCUUUCCAUUUCAAGAGCCUCAACAUCAUUAAUCUUUUCACCACUGUCACUCCUUGGUGAGGCCAUUUUUGUGCAAGUAACCACACAGAUCAGAGAACCAUGGUAUUCAACUGUAUCAGGUUUGUGGAUAGAAAAUACAAUUUCAGUAACUAACAAUGAGUUUGCUUUUAUUCUGUCCUAGCCGACUUUGAAUGUUUACCUACCUUGAAGGAAGAGAAGGAAUCAAAUCACAACCCAAGUGAUAGUGAAUCCUAAACCUGAAUGGCGCUCAUGUUUUCCAAGAGAAGCAGCCCCUGAGGAAGUCUGCUGAGGCUGCCAACAGAGGAUGAAGAGGAUACAAAUUUAAUUAAUUUCAAAUCAACAUAGACACAAGAACCUUUGCUGUUUCUUCCAACGCCCACUCUUCCUAAUGAUGGCAUCACUUGCACUUGGAAGAAUGUGCAAUUGAGAAGUACUAGGAAAAGGCCUGGCUGCCAUCCAUUGCUGCCUCUGAGGGUGGAGAAGGAGGCGGGUGAUGUGCUCACUUCUGAUCAACAUGUGUUGCCUCCUUU
rnacentral:sRNA from 1 species